UCAGUGCAGGCCUUAAAACGGUGAAACCGCGAAUGGCUCAUUAAAUCAGCUAUGGUUUAUUGGAUCGUACCCGUUAAAUGGAUAACUGUAAUAACUCUAGAGCUAAUACAUGCCCCGAUGCCCUGACCGCACUUGUACUGCGAAAAGCGUAUAGGUGGGGAAUGGGUGCACUUAUUAGAUCAGAAGCCAACCAAUUGUACACGUAUGGCUGCAAAGCUAUCGCGUACGUUGAAGCACUUCUGGUGACUCUGGAUAAUUGUUACAGAUCGCAGCAGGCCUUGAGUCGGCGACGGGUCCUUCAAAUGUCUGCCCUAUCAACUUUCGAUGGUAGGUGACCUGCCUACCAUGGUGAUAACGGGUAACGGGGAAUCAGGGUUCGAUUCCGGAGAGGGAGCCUGAGAAACGGCUACCACUUCCAAGGGAGGCAGCAGGCGCGCAAAUUACCCACUCCCAGCACGGGGAGGUGGUGACGAAAAAUACCGAUGCGGGACUCCUUAAAGAGGCUCCGUAAUCGGAAUGAGUGGACUCUAAAUCCUUUCACGAGGAUCAAUUGGAGGGCAAGUCUGGUGCCAGCAGCCGCGGUAACUCCAGCUCCAAUAGCGUAUAUUAAAGUUGCUGCAGUUAAAAAGCUCGUAGCUGGAUCUCGGUGGCAUUGUUGCCUGUUAGCAUUUGAGCGGCUGGUGUGUGACUAUUAACACUCAUGCCUGGUCAUUGUGUUUGGGCUACUGACUGGUUGAUUGUGCUAUUGUGCAUGUGUGUGUAUGUCUAUAUGGAUGCCUUCUGACGUUCAUUAGACGUAUUAUGCACAUAUGUGCAUGCAUGUAGACUAGUGAAUUGGCCUAGCAGUGGUUGGGUAUGUGUAGUUGUAGUCGUUAAAUAGCACUGCCGUGUCAAGCCGACAAGGUGAUGGUGUCGCCUUUAAGCCAUGUCUGUGGUGUAGCAGCCACAGGUGUGGACGGGUAUUGGGUGGUGCUUUGCAUACACUGUGAAGUCCAUCGGCCCGUUUGCAUGCCCUUGGAUGCCCUUCAAAAGGUGUCUGUGGGCGGGUGGCACGUUUACUUUGAACAAAUUUGAGUGCUCAAAUCAGGCCGAUGUUGCCUGAAAAGUUUUGCAUGGAAUAAUGGAAUAGGACUUCGGUUCUAUUUCGUUGGUUUUCGGAUCCGAAGUAAUGAUCAAAAGAGACAGGCGGGGACGUUUGUAUGGCUGCGCUAGAGGUGAAAUUCAUGGACCGUAGCCAGACAAACUAAAGCGAAAGCAUUCGUCAAGCAUGUUUUCAUUGGCCAUGAGCGAAAGUCAGAGGCUCGAAGACGAUCAGAUACCGUCCUAGUUCUGACCAUAAACGAUGCCAACUGACGAUCCGUGGUGGUAGUGAUAAAACCUUCCCCACGGGCAGUCCCCGGGAAACCUUUAAGUGUUUGGGUUCCGGGGGAAGUAUGGUUGCAAAGCUGAAACUUAAAGGAAUUGACGGAAGGGCACCACCAGGAGUGGAGCCUGCGGCUUAAUUUGACUCAACACGGGAAAACUCACCCGGGCCGGACACUAUGAGGAUUGACAGAUUGAUAGCUCUUUCUUGAUUUGGUGGUUGGUGGUGCAUGGCCGUUCUUAGUUGGUGGAGCGAUUUGUCUGGUUAAUUCCGAUAACGAACGAGACUCCAGCCUGCUAAUUAGUGCAUCUGUCCACUGCAUCUGUGUGGAUAGUAAUCGGAUGAGGCUGCUGUCAUUGGUCGUGUUAACUUGACUGUCUGUGUGUUUAUUGAAGCCAUUUACUCGCUGCCCGCUUGUGGUGCGUGUGAGAUUGGUGGAGAUGACACUAGGCCAGAAGGGUGAACAUAUUGUCAGUGACUGGUUGGUCGAUCUGGUGCUAGCCUCCGGGUGCGGCGCGGAUGCUUACUUCUUAGAGGGACAAGCGGGAGAAGCCGCACGAAAUAGAGCAAUAACAGGUCUGUGAUGCCCUUAGAUGUCCGGGGCCGCACGCGCGCUACAAUGACGGUGUCAACGAGUCAGGCCUUCUGGCCCGAGAGGGUUGGGUAAACUGGUCAAUCACCGUCGUGACAGGGAUCGGGGCUUGCAAUUAUUCCCCGUGAACGAGGAAUUCCUAGUAAGUGCAAGUCAUAAGCUUG
rnacentral:rRNA from 1 species